AUUGAACGCUGGCGGCAUGCCUUACACAUGCAAGUCGAACGGCAGCAUGAUCUAGCUUGCUAGAUUGAUGGCGAGUGGCGAACGGGUGAGUAAUACAUCGGAACGUGCCCUGUAGUGGGGGAUAACUAGUCGAAAGAUUAGCUAAUACCGCAUACGACCUGAGGGUGAAAGUGGGGGACCGCAAGGCCUCAUGCUAUAGGAGCGGCCGAUGUCUGAUUAGCUAGUUAGUGAGGUAAAGGCUCACCAAGGCGACGAUCAGUAGCUGGUCUGAGAGGACGAUCAGCCACACUGGGACUGAGACACGGCCCAGACUCCUACGGGAGGCAGCAGUGGGGAAUUUUGGACAAUGGGCGAAAGCCUGAUCCAGCAAUGCCGCGUGUGUGAAGAAGGCCUUCGGGUUGUAAAGCACUUUUGUCCGGAAAGAAAUGGCUCUGGUUAAUACCUGGGGUCGAUGACGGUACCGGAAGAAUAAGGACCGGCUAACUACGUG
rnacentral:rRNA from 1 species